GAGCGAGUGAGCUGGAGGUUACAGAAGAAGGAAGAGAGUCAGGAAGUCUGCUACACUGAGUCCAGGAAAGCAGAGAGUGAGCAGCCAGCAAGAAGAGAAGCCUAGCUGAAAUCACUAGAAGAAAAGGAAGAGCCAGGCUUGAGCCCCAGAGCUGUGCUGAAAAUAGAACAAGAGACUACCCAGCAAGCCAGAAGCAGAAAAGAAAGCACAGAGGACUCUGAGUAGGGACCAGUAUAGAGACAGGAAAAGCAAAAAGGGAAAAGAAAAAAGAAGAAGCCUGGGGCAAAAAAAGAGAGAAUAACAUCCAAAGGACAUGGAUGGAUGGAUAGGAAAAGAAAAUUGCAUUUCAGAGCAAAUACACAUCGUGAGAAAAUCAAGAGCAAAAAAGCAAAGCCAAAGAAUGACAGGAUUAUCUAUACUGUGUGUUACUAAGGUAUUAGAAUAUUAAACAAAACUGGGGACUGGUGCUCUGUCUACUAAGAAAAAGAAUGGAGUCUUCUCUUCCUCAUUUGGAGCAGAAAUCAAG